rnacentral:rRNA from 1 species
AUUGAACGCUGGCGGCAUGCCUUACACAUGCAAGUCGAACGGUAACGGGCCUUCGGGUGCCGACGAGUGGCGAACGGGUGAGUAAUGUAUCGGAACGUACCUCUCAGUGGGGGAUAACGUAGCGAAAGUUACGCUAAUACCGCAUAUUCUGUGAGCAGGAAAGCAGGGGAUCGCAAGACCUUGCGCUGAUUGAGCGGCCGAUAUCAGAUUAGCUAGUUGGUGAGGUAAAGGCUCACCAAGGCGACGAUCUGUAGCGGGUCUGAGAGGAUGAUCCGCCACACUGGAACUGAGACACGGUCCAGACUCCUACGGGAGGCAGCAGUGGGGAAUUUUGGACAAUGGGGGCAACCCUGAUCCAGCCAUGCCGCGUGAGUGAAGAAGGCCUUCGGGUUGUAAAGCUCUUUCGGCCGGGAAGAAAUCGUAUCAGCUAAUACCUGGUGCGGAUGACGGUACCGGCAUAAGAAGCACCAGCUAACUACGUGCCAGCCGCCGCAGUAAAAC